rnacentral:rRNA from 1 species
UGCCAGCAGCCGCGGUAAUACGGAGGGUGCAAGCGUUGUUCGGAAUCAUUGGGCGUAAAGCGCGUGCAGGCGGCCUAGUAAGUCUGAUGUGAAAGCCCAGGGCUCAACCCUGGAAGUGCAUUGGAUACUGCUUGGCUAGAGGGCGAGAGAGGAAAGUGGAAUUCCUGGUGUAGGGGUGAAAUCCGUAGAUAUCAGGAGGAACAUCUGUGGCGAAGGCGACUUUCUGGCUCGUUACUGACGCUGAGACGCGAAAGCGUGGGGAGCAAACAGGAUUAGAUA